ensembl:miRNA mdo-mir-7325 mdo-mir-7325
GAGGGCCCGGUUUCCUCUGGCUGCAAUAUUCAGAGUGGCAGUGGAAAUGGGGUCAUUG